CACGUAGGUGGCAAGCGUUGUCCGGAAUUAUUGGGCGUAAAGCGCGCGCAGGCGGUCUUUUAAGUCUGAUGUGAAAGCCCACGGCUCAACCGUGGAGGGUCAUUGGAAACUGGGAGACUUGAGUGCAGAAGAGAAGAGUGGAAUUCCAUGUGUAGCGGUGAAAUGCGUAGAGAUAUGGAGGAACACCAGUGGCGAAGGCGACUCUUUGGUCUGUAACUGACGCUGAGGCGCGAAAGCGUGGGGAGCAAACAGGAUUA
rnacentral:rRNA from 1 species